ACCUAUUCCGAUCGGUCUGCAUAAUGAUAAGGAUACGAUAUUGAUAUUUGAAAUUCCCGUAGACAUCUUUUGCGGCGUCAAUAAGCCAAGGAUCGGGAAGAAGGGAGAGGGGGAUCGAUGAAGGGACCGCAUUGCGGAUCUUCCGAAAGAAGCGGCGGAGCAAACGGACUAGAUCGACGUGGAUAGCAACUGGCUCUGCGGGCGGGCCCGCACCGUUUGCCCACAAAUGUGCGUCGAAUUCGUAGUCUUCGUGCAGAGCCUGGGGGACCUCCUCAAGGCCUCCCUGAUGGCCACAGUGCGCCCCAUUAUGCUGUCAUCCGCAGACGCUAAGCAGCGUGAAAACAACGAGAACUCAGUGACGGCAAGACCAAAGGAAGACUGAGUUGACAAUGUCUCGACAUAUCAGCAGUUCAUAGAUGUAGCUGUGACAUUUGUAUAUUGUGGGUAAAUUACUUUCGUAUGUGG